AUUGAACGCUGGCGGCAGGCCUAACACAUGCAAGUCGAGCGAGCGGCGGACGGGUGAGUAAUGUCUGGGAAACUGCCUGAUGGAGGGGGAUAACUACUGGAAACGGUAGCUAAUACCGCAUACCACAGGAUGUGCCCAGAUGGGUUUAGCUAGUAGGUGGGGUACAGGCUCACAUAGGCGACGAUCCCUAGCUGGUCUGAGAGGAGGACCAGCCACACUGGAACGGAGACACGGCCCAGACUCCUACGGGAGGCAGCAGUGGGGAAUAUUGGACAAUGGGCGAAAGCCUGAUGCAGACAUGCCGCGUGUAUGAAGAAGGUUUUCGGUUUGUAAAGUCCUUUCAGCAGGGAGGCGUUACCCACACAAGAAGCACCGGCUAACUCCGUGCCAGCAGCCGCGGUAAUAC
rnacentral:rRNA from 1 species